rnacentral:rRNA from 1 species
AACGAACGCUGGCGGCAUGCCUAACACAUGCAAGUCGAACGAGACCUUCGGGUCUAGUGGCGCACGGGUGCGUAACGCGUGGGAACCUGCCCUUAGGUUCGGAAUAACUCAGAGAAAUUUGAGCUAAUACCGGAUAAUGUCUUCGGACCAAAGAUUUAUCGCCUUUGGAUGGGCCCGCGUAGGAUUAGCUUGUUGGUGGGGUAGUGGCCUACCAAGGCGACGAUCCUUAGCUGGUCUGAGAGGAUGAUCAGCCACACUGGGACUGAGACACGGCCCAGACUCCUACGGGAGGCAGCAGUGGGGAAUAUUGGACAAUGGGCGAAAGCCUGAUCCAGCAAUGCCGCGUGAGUGAUGAAGGCCUUAGGGUUGUAAAGCUCUUUUACCAGGGAUGAUAAUGACAGUACCUGGAGAAUAAGCUCCGGCUAACUCCGUG